rnacentral:rRNA from 1 species
GCUCCCGGAUGUUAGCGGCGGACGGGUGAGUAACACGUGGGUAACCUGCCUGUAAGACUGGGAUAACUCCGGGAAACCGGAGCUAAUACCGGAUAGUUCCUUGAACCGCAUGGUUCAAGGAUGAAAGACGGUUUCGGCUGUCACUUACAGAUGGACCCGCGGCGCAUUAGCUAGUUGGUGGGGUAAUGGCUCACCAAGGCGACGAUGCGUAGCCGACCUGAGAGGGUGAUCGGCCACACUGGGACUGAGACACGGCCCAGACUCCUACGGGAGGCAGCAGUAGGGAAUCUUCCGCAAUGGACGAAAGUCUGACGGAGCAACGCCGCGUGAGUGAUGAAGGUUUUCGGAUCGUAAAGCUCUGUUGUUAGGGAAGAACAAGUGCGAGAGUAACUGCUCGCACCUUGACGGUACCUAACCAGAAAGCCACGGCUAACUACGUGCCAGCAGCCGCGGUAAUACGUAGGUGGCAAGCGUUGUCCGGAAUUAUUGGGCGUAAAGGGCUCGCAGGCGGUUUCUUAAGUCUGAUGUGAAAGCCCCCGGCUCAACCGGGGAGGGUCAUUGGAAACUGGGAAACUUGAGUGCACAAGAAGAGAGUGUAAUUCCACGUGUAGCGGUGAAAUGCGUAGAGAUGUGGAGGAACA